UCUUUUAUUGCAAUUCACCCCUCCAACUUUCCCAUAUUUACCAUUCCCACCCCCCACUUUUUCCUUUUAUUUUCAAAUUUCCUUUUCAAUCUCCUUAUAUAUCCCAUCCUUUUCCUCCCUUCUUCCCAUUCAUUCACCCUCUCCAUUCCUUUCUGAUAUAUGCUUUCAUGUAUCAAAUCUGCCUGGCUCCCUGUAUGCCAUUUGUAGAGCGCUCACCGUCUUACCCGAUGACCUCCGUAGAUGGCGUAUGAGGAGCCAAGCAUAUUCCGUCUAGAUCGGGAUUCAAAUCUUUUAUCUUUAACAUCACAACUUACCCCGUCUUUUGUUUUUAAUCUAUCCAUGUCUUAAUCAGCUCAGCUAUGCUCUAAAUUGGUAAUUCUCGAACUAACCCUUUUCAAUGCUCGUGCCCUUUUCUUAUUGCAGCUACCCAAAAAACCCUAAUUUCAAAGACCUCCGUAAAUGGCGUACGAGGAGCCAAGCAUAUUCCGUGUAGAUCGGGAUUCAAAUCUUUUAUCUUUAACAUCACAACUUACCCCGUCUUUUGUUUUUAAUCCAUCUAUGUCUUAUUCAACUCAAUUAUGCUCUAAAUUGGUAAUUCUCGAACUAACCCUUUUCAAUGCUCGUGCCCUUUUCUUAUUGCAGCUACCCGAAAAACCCUAAUUUCAAAGAUUGGCAAUGAAGAGAUCUCAUGUAUACCAAUGUAUAAUAGCAAGCGACCGAAGAUCUGAUGGGAUGAAAUCUGAUCGUGUGGUGAUGGGUUGUUCAAUAUGAAGAGAGUAAGAUAGAUCUGGCCACAGAGGAUCCAAAUAUAUAUAUAUAUAUAUAUAUUUGAAUGGGAAAGAAUCUAAGUGGAAAGAGCUUGAGGAUUCUCUCAUAGCUAGGGUUAUUUGGAUAGCAUCUUAGCCUAAUGGCUAGCUAUAUUCUACUACAUGUAGUGUAAUAAUCAAACAUUUAUCUCAAUAAAUCCUUUUUUUUUUGUUCGUUUUCCGUAAUUGUUAGCACGUUUUUGAGCUCUCGCUUUGCUGAUUUGUAUAUACAGUGUUCGGGAUAUAGGUAGGGAUGAAGUGAUUGUUCUCGUUUAGAACU